rnacentral:rRNA from 1 species
GAUGAACGCUGGCGGCGUGCCUAAUACAUGCAAGUCGAGCGAACAGACGAGGAGCUUGCUCCUCUGACGUUAGCGGCAGACGGGUGAGUAACACGUGGAUAACCUACCUAUAAGACUGGGAUAACUUCGGGAAACCGGAGCUAAUACCGGAUAAUAUAUUGAACCGCAUGGUUCAAUAGUGAAAGACGGUUUUGCUGUCACUUAUAGAUGGAUCCGCGCCGCAUUAGCUAGUUGGUAAGGUAACGGCUUACCAAGGCAACGAUGCGUAGCCGACCUGAGAGGGUGAUAGGCCACACUGGAACUGAGACACGGUCCAGACUCCUACGGGAGGCAGCAGUAGGGAAUCUUCCGCAAAGGGCGAAAGCCUGACGGAGCAACGCCGCGUGAGUGAUGAAGGUCUUCGGAUCGUAAAACUCUGUUAUUAGGGAAGAACAAAUGUGUAAGUAACUAUGCACGUCUUGACGGUACCUAAUCAGAAAGCCACGGCUAACUACGUG